rnacentral:rRNA from 1 species
AACGAACGCUGGCGGCAUGCCUAACACAUGCAAGUCGAACGAGACCUUCGGGUCUAGUGGCGCACGGGUGCGUAACGCGUGGGAACCUGCCUUUAGGUUCGGAAUAACUCAGAGAAAUUUGAGCUAAUACCGGAUGAUGUCUUCGGACCAAAGAUUUAUCGCCUUUAGAUGGGCCCGCGUUGGAUUAGCUAGUUGGUGGGGUAAAGGCCUACCAAGGCGACGAUCCAUAGCUGGUCUGAGAGGAUGAUCAGCCACACUGGGACUGAGACACGGCCCAGACUCCUACGGGAGGCAGCAGUGGGGAAUAUUGGACAAUGGGCGAAAGCCUGAUCCAGCAAUGCCGCGUGAGUGAUGAAGGCCUUAGGGUUGUAAAGCUCUUUACCCGAGAUGAUAAUGACAGUAUCGGGAGAAUAAGCUCCGGCUAACUCCGUG